CUAAAUGCAAUGAUAAGAAAUAGUAAAAGUAAGUAUCUUUAACAGAGAGUUACCGGUUGGUGAGAGGUGCAAUUGAUUUUACUUUGAACACAUCUUUAAGCAGAGCACCGAAAAGAUAUCUUAGUAGGCUGUUUCCGGAUUCCCUGCACCCGUUAUAGUGCUAGAGUAUAAACAAUUUAUUUGUCGUACUCAAAGAGGUUAGUGUCGUGAGGCAUUAAUAAAUAGAGGUGGAACCACGUGAGUUAACUCCCGUCCUCUAG
rnacentral:ncRNA from 1 species